CCCCUGGGGCAGCGCUGCACAGCUGAGCUCCCAGCUGGUGUCUGCCUGCCAGCCGGCAGGAACCUACAGAAUGCAGCAGCAGCCCGAGGCACACACAGAGGUGAGGCAGGCAGUGAGGAAUUCUCCGCAGCUCCGCUGCAUGCUGGGGGUGUGUGGCUUGUAGACGCCAGCAGUGGGCAUAGAGACUGAGUCCCCCCCGCCACCCUCGACGUGACCCGACACGACCCACCAGCGACGGGACCCCCCUAGGCUAGGAGCCAGAGUGGGACCUGGCUGCUGGAUGCUUCCUGGGAGCCGCUCCAGUCAUCCCUGCCGGGGCCCCGCCGAAACUGUUCGUAUUGGGCCCCGCACUUCCUUAAAGCCGGCCCUGCUGGCUGGGAGGUGGUUCCUCAAUCGCAGCUGCCGCCGAGUGCACAUGUCGUGUACAACAGGAGCCUAGCAGGCAGCGGCGGAGCGGACAACGGGCAGACAGACUCGGACAGCCCCUCGGACCAUUGAGCGAAGCAAUCAAGUGGCUGCUAUUGGAAUGGAGAGUGGCUGUGGACUCCAGAUGGUCACACGACACGGAUCUCUAGCAAAUUCAGCACCACGCCACACAAGUUUGAUUCACAACAGACCCCAGGAAUAGAGGAGAACCAUAGACAAAAAGGCUUGAAGAUGGUGCAGACCUGAGGGCCAUAGCACUGAACCCACAGAAAAGGCAACACUGAUAGACUGCUGACAAUAGCCACCACCCUUGGACUUCUAGAGGCACAUAGCCACACAACUGGAGAGGUCUAUGGAAUGAGAAGACUAGAUGUGUUCCAAGGAUUUCCCACCAAUGGUGGAGAUUCUACAAAGAUUCAACGUAUUGCAUACCAGCAGCAGGAAUCAGAUAAAGUUCAAGCACAGAAGACUAGGACAAUGAAGUGGAGGACCUUUUCUUGGAGUACUCUAUGAAUAGCGCCUACAGGGACCCUAUUGAGUUUGGUGCACAACGUGUAUACAGCAACAAGGUAGCAGAUGGUGCAGGCUAAGCUGAGGGACUUGGGCUGAAGCCACAGGAAGGACAACACUGACAGCCUGCCUCUGGGACUACACUGGUGGUCAGGGCUGGAUUACCUAACAGGCAGACUAAG